rnacentral:tRNA from 1 species
AAUCCAAUAGUCAAUUAUGAUAUAAAAUUGCAAAUUUUAAGGUAAUAUACAUAUUCUGGAUUU